CCUACGGGGGGCUGUAGUGGGGAAUAUUGGACAAUGGGGGGAACCCUGAUCCAGCCAUGCCGCGUGUGUGAAGAAGGCCCUCGGGUUGUAAAGCACUUUCAGUGAGGAAGAACGCCUGGUGGUUAAUACCCAUCAGGAAAGACAUCACUCACAGAAGAAGCACCGGCUAACUCCGUGCCAGCAGCCGCGGUAAUACGGAGGGUGCGAGCGUUAAUCGGAAUUACUGGGCGUAAAGCGCGCGUAGGUGGCUUGAUAAGCCGGUUGUGAAAGCCCCGGGCUCAACCUGGGAACGGCAUCCGGAACUGUCAAGCUAGAGUGCAGGAGAGGAAGGUAGAAUUCCCGGUGUAGCGGUGAAAUGCGUAGAGAGCGGGAGGAAUACCAGUGGCGAAGGCGGCCUUCUGGACUGACACUGACACUGAGGUGCGAAAGCGUGGGUAGCAAACAGGAUUAGAUACCCUAGUAGUC
rnacentral:rRNA from 1 species